rnacentral:rRNA from 1 species
UACGUAGGUGGCGAGCGUUGUCCGGAUUUACUGGGCGUAAAGGGCGUGCAGGCGGUUUGUUAAGUGCAGGGUGAAAGCUCCCGGCUCAACUGGGAGAGGUCCUUGCAUACUGGCGAACUCGAGGGAGGCAGAGGAAAGUGGAAUUCCCGGUGUAGUGGUGAUAUGCGUAGAUAUCGGGAGGAACACCUGUGGCGAAGGCGGCUUUCUGGGCCCUACCUGACGCUGAGACGCGAAAGCGUGGGGAGCGAACCGG